ACGCCUUUUAAAAGAAAUCCAGAGAGGUUUCCAAGGGUGUAGUACAGCGCGUCAAAGACGAUGCUUGUUUUCUCACACCCUUUCUAUAUCAAGAAAGGGUGUUUUUUAUU
rfam:Bacillus sp. SGD-V-76 genomic scaffold Scaffold1, whole genome shotgun sequence.